rnacentral:tRNA from 1 species
GCCUGGCUGGUUCAGCUGAUACAGCAUGUGACUCUUGAUCUCAGGGUCAUGAGUUCAAGCCCCAUGUUGGGCA